AGCUCCAAUAGCGUAUAUUAAAGUUGCUGCAGUUAAAAAGCUCGUAGUUGGAUUUGUGGCGCGGCCGUCCGGCGGGGGUCCUUUACUGGUCCCGUUUGUCCUGGUUUUCGGCCGCUCCUUUCUCGGGUAGCGCGUGGCUGGCAUUAGGUUGUCGGCCGCUUCGCGCCCGUCAUUUACUGUGAAAAAAUUAGAGUGUUCAAAGCAGGCUUAGGCCGUUGGAUACAUUAGCAUGGAAUAAUGAGAUAGGACCACAGCGGUCUAUUUUGUUGGUUUGCACGUUGUGGUAAUGAUUAACAGGAACGGUUGGGGGUAUUCGUAUUCAACUGUCAGAGGUGAAAUUCUUGGAUUUGAGGAAGACGAACUACUGCGAAAGCAUUUACCAAGGAUGUUUUCA
rnacentral:rRNA from 1 species